GGUGGCUCAGUGGUAGAGUGCCUGCCUUGCAUGUAUGAAGGCCUGGGUUCGAUUCCUCAGCACCA
rnacentral:tRNA from 1 species